rnacentral:misc_RNA from 1 species
GAUGAAGAACGCAGCGAAAUGCGAUACUUGGUGUGAAUUGCAGGAUCCCGUGAACCAUCGAGUCUUUGAACGCAAGUUGCGCCCGAAGCCAUUAGGCCGAGGGCACGCCUGCCUGGGCGUCACACGUCGUUGCCCCCCCAUCUACUCCUUCGGGAUUGCGGGGGGCGGAUGAUGGCCUCCCGUGCGCCUCGCCGCGCGGUUGGCAUAAAUGCCAAGUCCUCGGCGACGCACGCCACGACAAUCGGUGGUUGCGAAACCUCGGUUGCCCGUCGUGUGCGGUCGUCGCGCAUCGAGGGCUCGAAAAAAUUGCCGGGUUCCGGCUCGGCUUUCAACGCGACCCCAGGUCAGGCGGGGUUACCCGCUGAAUUUAAGCAUAUCAAUAAGCGGAGGA